rnacentral:rRNA from 1 species
AGAUGAGAUUUCCCAACUUCGGUUAUAAGAUCCCUCAAAGAUGAUGAGGUUAAUAGGUUCGAGGUGGAAGUACAGUAAUGUAUGGAGCUGACGAAUACUAAUCGAUCGAAGACUUAAUCAAUUU